rnacentral:rRNA from 1 species
AUUCCAGCUCCAAUAGCGUAUAUUAAAGUUGUUGCGGCUAAAUAGCUCGUAGUUGGAUUUCCGCUGAGGACGACCGGUCCGCCCUCCGGGUGAGCAUCUGGUUCGGCCUUGGCAUCUUCUUGGUGAACGUAUCUGCACUUGACAGUGUGGUGCGGUACCCAGGGUUUUUACUUUGAGGGGAUUAGAAUGUUCCAAGCAGGCAUACGCCUUGAAUACAUUAGCAUGGAAUAACUAGAUAGGACCUCGGUUCUAUUUUGUUGGUUUCUAGAGCUGAGGUAAUGAUUAAUAGGGGUAGUUGGGGGCAUUCGUAUUUAACUGUCAGAGGUGGAAUUCUUGGAUUUGUUAAAGACGGACUACUGCGAAAGCAUUUGCCAAGGAUGUUUUCAUCA